GUGUAUAUUAAAAGGAGAGACAGUUAGCCCUCCCCUUGAAAAGGAUGGAACACAUAAUAUUGGUCAAGGCACAUACUUGACCACAUAAGUGG